UAAAACGUCGUGAGACAGUUUGGUCCCUAUCUGCCGUGGGCGCUGGAAAUUUGAAGGGGGCUGCUCCUAGUACGAGAGGACCGGAGUGGACGAACCUCUGGUGUACCGGUUAUGACGCCAGUCGUAUUGCCGGGUAGCUAAGUUCGGAAGAGAUAAACGCUGAAAGCAUCUAAGCGUGAAACUCGCCUUAAGAUGAGAUUUCCCCGGGGACUUGAUCCCCCUGAAGGGUCGUGGUAGACCACCACGUUGAUAGGCUGGAUGUGGAAGCGCAGCAAUGCGUUAAGCUAACCAGUACUAAUUGCCCGUGCGGCUUGAUCCU
rnacentral:rRNA from 1 species